ensembl:lncRNA
CUGGUUCUUCAUAUAAGAUCAUCUUUGGAACUGGAACCAGUUUAACCAUUGAACCCAACUGGUUCUGUAAAUAAGAUGUUCUUUGGAGCUGGAACCAGUUUAACCAUUGAACCCAUGUCUGGUUCAUAGUUUCUGUCGCGCUGCAUCUUGUUGUGUGAAUACUGGAGGACGAUUUAAAAUGACCUUUGGCACUGGGACCAGUUUAACCAUUGAACCCAGUAAGUAACGAUAUCAUUUAUUAAUAGUUAUUAUGCCAACGUUCUUUGGAAACGAAACUGACUUGUGAAAUGAAAACAGUCAACAUAU